rfam:Nomascus leucogenys chromosome 3, whole genome shotgun sequence.
GCUUAUGGCCAUACCACCCUGAAUGCGCCCAAUCUCACCUGAUCUCAGAAGCAAAGCAGGGUCGGGCCUGGUUAGUACUUGGAUGGGAGAAAGGUCCCCUAGGUAUGAUCCUCAGGUUGUGGGUU